GACGAACGCUGGCGGCGUGCUUAACACAUGCAAGUCGAACGGUAAGGCCCUUCGGGGUACACGAGUGGCGAACGGGUGAGUAACACGUGGGUGAUCUGCCCUGCACUUCGGGAUAAGCCUGGGAAACUGGGUCUAAUACCGGAUAGGACCAUUGCCUGCAUGGGUGGUGGUGGAAAGCUUUUGCGGUGUGGGAUGGGCCCGCGGCCUAUCAGCUUGUUGGUGGGGUGAUGGGCUACCAAGGCGACGACGGGUAGCCGGCCUGAGAGGGUGACCGGCCACACUGGGACUGAGAUACGGCCCAGACUCCUACGGGAGGCAGCAGUGGGGAAUAUUGCACAAUGGGCGCAAGCCUGAUUCAGCGACGCCGCGUGAGGGAUGACGGCCUUCGGGUUGUAAACCUCUUUCAGCACCGACGAAGCGCAAGUGACGGUAGGUGCAGAAGAAGGACCGGCCAACUACGUGCCAGCCGCCGCCGUAA
rnacentral:rRNA from 1 species